CACGUAGGGACCAAGCGUUGUCCGGAUUCAUUGGGCGUAAAGAGCUCGUAGGCGGUUCGAUAAGUCGGGUGUGAAACCUCCAGGCUCAACCUGGAGACGCCACCCGAUACUGUCGUGACUAGAGUCCAGUAGGGGAGCGUGGAAUUCCUGGUGUAGCGGUGAAAUGCGCAGAUAUCAGGAGGAACACCAGCGGCGAAGGCGGCGCUCUGGGCUGGAACUGACGCUGAGGAGCGAAAGCAUGGGUAGCGAACGGG
rnacentral:rRNA from 1 species